GCAUAUCAAUAAGCGGAGGAAAAGAAAAUAACAAUGAUUCCUCUAGUAACUGCGAGUGAAGAGGGAAAAGCUCAAAUUUUAAAUCUGUUAGGUUUACCUAACCGAGUUGUAAUUUGAAGAAGCGUUUUCUGCGAAUUUGGUUAGUCCAAAUCCUUUGGAAUAAGGUAUCAUGGAGGGUGAGAAUCCCGUUCGGUUAACCAAAGCGCUUUACGAUACGCUUUCAAAGAGUCAAGUUGUUUGGGAUUGCAGCUUAAAAUGGGAGGUAAAUUUCUCCUAAGGCUAAAUAUUGGCGAGAGACCGAUAGCGAACAAGUACCGUGAGGGAAAGAUGAAAAGAACUUUGAAAAGAGAGUUAAACAGUACGUGAAAUUGUUGAAAGGGAAACGAUUAAAGUCAGUCGUACCUACGAGUAAUCAACCUACUCGAGUGCGAUUUUGUGGGUAUGUUUGAGCUUAAAAACCUUCAUGCUUACAAAUUGGUGCUCUUUGGGCGUACUUUCUCGUAUGGUAGGUUAACAUCAAUUUCGACCGUUAUAAAAUGACUGGAGGAAUGUAGCUUCGACCUCGGUUGAAGUGUUAUAGCCUUUGGUAGAUGUAAUGAUUGGGAUUGAGGAUUGCAACGGAUACCCUCUGGGCUAUUCGUCUGAUCUCUGGAAGUUACCUUGGUGUCGAAAGCGUGCUUACGAUAUUAAGGUUGACGGCCAAUAGGUUAGAACGUGAUUAAAUUCGUUAAGGAUGUUGACGUAAUGGCUUUAAACGAC
rnacentral:rRNA from 1 species